rnacentral:rRNA from 1 species
GUGCACACUUGUCAUCUUUAUUUCUCCAACUGUGCACUCAUUGUAGACCCUGGAGGGGUUUUUUAUUGUUGUUCAAGUAAAACUGAACAGAUUGAGGAUUGCUGUGUUGCUUUGCCUUGCAUUCUUCCAGGUCGUCUAUGUUAUUUUCACAAACCUUUUUGAAUUAGAAUGUUGAAAUAUAAAAAGUUAAAAUAUUACAACUUUCAGCAACGGAUCUCUUGGCUCUCGCAUCGAUGAAGAACGCAGCGAAAUGCGAUAAGUAAUGUGAAUUGCAGAAUUCAGUGAAUCAUCGAAUCUUUGAACGCAUCUUGCGCUCCUUGGUAUUCUGAGGAGCAUGCCUGUUUGAGUGUCAUUAAAUUCUCAACUGCACUGGUUUUCUCUGGUGUAGCUUGGAUGAUGGGGGUUUCAAUUUUUGCAGGCUCUCUUUGGGUCGGCUCCCCUGAAAUGCAUUAGUGGUCUAAAACUGCUACAGGUGUGAUAAUUAUCUAUGCCUCUGGUACUUUUUUAUAGACUGCUUUCUAACCAAGUGACUUUUCUUGCACAUAAGAAUUGCACGCUUUGACACAUUUGACCUCAAAUCAGGUAGGACUACCCGCUGAACUUAA